rnacentral:ncRNA from 1 species
CUGAAAAUGUUGAAGGAUCAAGUAUGUUAUAGUCCAUCUUAAAUGUGUAUGAAUAAGCACAGAAAGAGAGGAAUUUCCCUGGCUGAAAGAAAUUCUAAGAUGAAGGAUAACAGAAGGCUAAUCUGGAGUGCAGAAAAAAACUGCCGUUUUGCCGCGUUAUAGGCACCCAAGAGAAAGGCAUUGAUUUGUCUUUAAUCAGGGUGGUACCGCGAAUAAGUCUUUCGUCCCUGUC